CCCUGCGUAGCUCAGUUGGUUAGAGCGCCUGAUUGUGGUUCAGGAAGUCACUAGUUCGAAUCUAGUCGCGGGGA
rnacentral:tRNA from 1 species